UACGUAGGGGGCGAGCGUUGUCCGGAUUUAUUGGGCGUAAAGAGCUCGUAGGCGGUUCGAUAAGUCGGAUGUGAAAGCCCUCGGCUCAACCGAGGAAGUGCAUCCGAAACUAGCAGGCUUGAGUAUGGAAGAGGGUCUCGGAAUUCCCGGUGUAGAGGUGAAAUUCGUAGAUAUCGGGAGGAACACCAGUUGCGAAGGCGGCUGGCUGGACCCAUAUUGACGCUGAGGCUCGAAAGCAUGGGGAGCAAACAGG
rnacentral:rRNA from 1 species